rnacentral:lncRNA from 1 species
UUGGGCGGGGGGGGCGACGAAAACGGUUUUCGGGACUUUGACGCUCUCGUGAUGCUCCGAUCACGACGCGACUACCUCAUUCCACGUAGAAUGACUUUUUACAUAUAUUAUGACUUAAUUUUACAACAAUUAACAAUAUUAACGGGAGAUUGGAAGCAAAAAAGGAGAAAAAAAGGGGAAACUUCUAAAAUAUAGGAAAAAAAUGUCUUCUAAAAUUAGACGAUCAAACCACCUCUAAUUGAAAGAUGAACUUUUCAUCUAACGGAAAAGACUAAAUUUGCAUUACUAUUUUCCUUGUUCGUGAGAUAUCUGCGAAAGAAAAAGACACCCAGAUUGAUUUUUAAUUGAAUUCACUAGCAGACGACAUGAUUCAAUAGCCUGCUUGUCAAACGAAUGGGUUUUUGCCACAUAAACAAACAAAACAUUUCUCAUUAUAGUGAUUAAACCUCGACAACUUUACUGUCUUUCACAAGAUCAUGUUUCUGUUUCUCCAGUGCUCAUCUCCAGCAACUUCAAAUGUGACAAGAACAUCCCGACAGAGAAACAGACAACCAAAGAGCAAGUCACUCGUGCAUUAGUCCUCAGACCAACUGGAGAACUUUGUCAGCAACUUCAAAAAGCUUUUCUGCCAUUUAUCACCAAUUCCUCUCGUGCUGUCACAAUUUCUGGACAAAAAACACUAUUAGUGGCACAUCCUGACAUUACCAUAGCAACCCCUUCAACUAUAUUGAUCCAUUUGGUGUCUAAAAUGCUUGUGCUGAAAAAUUCCCUUCAAUCCUUUGAUAUUGACAAAGCUGACUUAGUUGUUUUGUUUUAGUUUUGAUGAAGAUAUGAAGUGUGUGUUUGGGUAAGUAAUAUGCAUAUUUUAAUCUGUUUAUGAUUAACAUUCCUUCUCUUUCUUUUAAAUAAACCUUCCCACUAAUUAUCAAUGCGUUUUGACUUCUGCCACUUUGGGUGACGAUAUUCAAAGUUUGAAACCAUCUAACAAGCAUCACUACCACAUGAAACUAAAUUAGUUCACACCAAGAAGUUCAAUAAUCCUGAUCACCCCUGUAAAGUUCUGAUUGCUACUGAUGCUAUUAAUAUAAAAUUGAAUCUGAA